rnacentral:rRNA from 1 species
UACGUAGGAGGCGAGCGUUGUCCGGAGUUACUGGGCGUAAAGCGUGCGCAGGCGGUUCGUCGUGUCCGAUGUGAAAGCCCCGGGCUCAACCUGGGAAUGGCAUUGGAAACUGGCGGACUCGAGUGUGGCAGAGGGGGGUGGAAUUCCGCGUGUAGCAGUGAAAUGCGUAGAGAUGCGGAGGAACACCGAUGGCGAAGGCAGCCCCCUGGGCUAACACUGACGCUCAGGCACGAAAGCGUAGGGAGCAAACAGG